CGCCUUCAAUUCAUCAGCAUUCCCUCAGAAAUCAUCUGCAUUCCCAAUCAAUUAAACCUCCUUCAAUCAAUUACCCUCCAACUACCGCCUUCAUCAAUCAAUCAGCAACAAAACGGAAUUACUAGCACCAUUCGAUCCCCCAACUACCAUUAAACCUUUACAUCUCAACAACAAAACAAAAUCACCCAUCUCUGCUGUUGCUCGUUGUUGCCGGAGAGAGAAUCAUCUGCAAAAGCCGCAGCUGCAAGCUUUUUCGACGAGCCACCACCGUAAUGUGUGCAGCUAUUCGAGUGGAAAUUGAGUACAUAUUUCAAAAGAAAUGAAACUUGUAAGCCAUGGCGUUCGAUUUCUAUAUACUUCAUUUGCUUUCAUUUCUAGCACCAUGACGUUUCUCUAAGCUUUAAUCGACGAGAACACUAUCUGAGUUCACUUGUCUGAGUUGCCACAGAGUGAUGGACGCCCCUGUUACUACGCCAUGUGCACAUAAUUUCUGCAUCUCAUGUUUGUCGUAUCAAUCUUCUAAUUCUGAAGCUAGAGUGUUAAGGUCACGAAAUAAUUCUAUGAAAUGUCCUUCAUGUACUACGGACAUUUUUGAUUUUUUGCAUAAGCCACAGGAGAAUACAGAACUAAGGACGCUUAUUGAUUCAUUUCAGAGACGACAAAAAAAUGUUGUUUCCGAAGGUAAAAUGUUGAAGCCUCUCAUAUUAUGAUGGAAAAUUAUGAUGGAUGAUGAUAAUAAUCUUAAUCAACUCAUCAAUGAAACAUAUGGAAAUCCAUGGUUGGCUUUGGCUGAGAGUUCGUCUGGAUACCGGGCUAAAAGGAAUAAGGUCAAAGUAGAAGAAGCAUUGGAUGAUGAUAAUAAUCCUAAUCAAUCCUAAUCAACUCAUCAAUGAAACAUGUGGAAAUCCAGGGUUGGCUUUGGCUGAGAGUUUGACUGGAUGCUGGGCGAAAAGAAAGAAUGCCAAAGUAGAAGAAGCAUUAGAUGAUGAUAAUAAUUUUAAUCAAUUCAUCAAUGAAAAAUGUGGAAAUCCAGGGUUGGCUUUGGCUGAGAGUUCGACUGGAUACUGGGCUAAAAAGAAGAAGGCCAAAGUAGAAAUAACAAAUAACAAUUUCAAUUAGAUGACUUUUAGUGGGUUCAAUCACUUGGUUCACAUCAUUUCCAUUAACAGAAGGUCUAAUGGGCUCUCCUUUGUCUUGGACCGUACCAUUUCAAGACGGGAAAUCCCGAUCAUCACACAAGGAACAUGGCAAGAACAAAGGACUGGCCAUUUUCGUUAUGUGGCAGCAGAUGUUUAUGUUCGUUCAAUUAGGAUACCUAGUACCGUUAAUACCUUUAAAGAAUUUCGUAACCGCAUCUUCAUUAGGAUGGGCCUUAAUGUCAACAAUGAUCAAAUAUGUUUCACCUACGCAUCAUAUGUAAGGAACGAAAGCCGAAGGCGCAGAACGGUUCAUCUUCAGAUCUCUGACGAUCCUACUUUUCGUACGUAUUAGAGGACUGUGGGUGCCAACACACCGGAAUAUGCUAAUUGUAUCUAUCUUGAACUAGUCAAUCCGUAGUUCUUUAUGUGAUAUGUGUCAGAUUUACGGUUGACUUUUAGGGAACUAUACACGGGUUUGUCCCGCCUGCUGAAAUUCUUCGACAUGUUGAUGAUAAUCCUAGUGUUCUGAUAGGGAAAACAUGGGAAGCCGACAAUAGCUUAAUCUGAUUUAUCGAAGUAUGUUGUGAAAAAACUAGAUUAGUGUUUAAUGUAAUGCUAAGUACAAAUGUUGAUUGUAAAUUUUGUGUUAUGUUAUCAUGCAAUCCAUGUGAA